GCACCCGUAGCUCAAUUGGAUAGAGCAUCUGACUACGGAUCAGAAGGUUAGGGGUUCGACUCCCUUCGGGUGUAC
rnacentral:tRNA from 1 species